UACGAAGGGGCUAGCGUUGUUCGGAUUUACUGGGCGUAAAGCGCACGUAGGCGGAUUGUUAAGUCAGGGGUGAAAUCCUGGAGCUCAACUCCAGAACUGCCUUUGAUACUGGCAAUCUCGAGUCCGGAAGAGGUGAGUGGAACUCCUAGUGUAGAGGUGGAAAUUCGUAGAUAUUAGGAAGAACACCAGUGGCGAAGGCGGCUCACUGGUCCGGUACUGACGCUGAGGUGCG
rnacentral:rRNA from 1 species